UCGCGGGCAAGUGCCGCCGCCCCAACGGCACCGAUGAGGUCUGGGAGGUAGAGGUCAGGGACAGUGGAGAUGACGGAAAAUCCACGGACGCCAGUCGAAGGCCUUGAGAAGGACGACGCAGUCGGACUCAAGAGCAGCUGCACUAGAGGACACCGUCGUCUUCAGAUCGCGUAGGUCUAUUGAAUUUGAUGAGCGAAGGGCAUGGAGCUGAGAAGGUUGGAUCGUGCGGUUGUUAGAAUCCUCCCAGUGUGUUGAACCUCCCAAUGGUGCUGCUGUGUUCGGCAACGGCCAUGUGACGGACAGAGCGAGAGGCCCAUCAUCAUGGCCGGACGCAACAAGGGAUGGUACCUGAGGCACAGCCGCUACGGUGCUGAGAAGGAGGCGGCUGUGGCACCAGACAGAUGCUGGACUCAGCUUUGAUGCUCAAUUAGGGCGGCCACACACAUGACUCUGCCCAAGGUUCAACUGCAGUUGGCUCGGAUAAAAAGGAUUGCAACAUUGGCAGUAUUGUUGAUAGGAUGGUUAGUUUUGGAAGGGGAAUGGUAGUAUGAGUAGAGAUUGAAAACAAGGCUGCAGUGCAAACACUCCUGCUCAACCAAUUUAAGCUCAGUGUCAGUUGUUGAUUAAACAUCGGAUAUACUCCCCCAAAUGACAUCGUUGCACUACACUGGAUCUGACGAGUAGGGGAUCCAGCUAGCUAUCUGAUGGCACUUCCACAUGUAUAAGUUUUGAGCUUAGGUUAUAUUUCUAAGGGGAGCAUACUUAUUAUUACCUUAAUUGGGUUUGACUUUUGGCUACUGUAUUGCUGUCACAACUUACCUGCGAAAUAGAAAGAGAGUCAUGUCUGAUAAGGAUAUGUACCGAGUAAUUAGUAUGUACAGAAGUGUUGGUUCUUGGUUCUUGCAUGGAGGUGAGUAACCAUGAGGUGAGCAAUUAUGGGCUGCAAACGUUGCUGCUGCCCAUCACCUGGUCCAAUUCAAGCACACCCAGUAGGCUGCCUUGAAUAAAGGAGUUCUCAAAGAUGAUGUCUUUUAGCACGACCAUUUUAUUGAUUUAGUUUCUGUACAAUUUUGGGGCAUCCAAACUUGGAAAGUUUCAUCCUCCAAGUUAAAUUGGGACAAUCCAUUCAUUAAUUUCAGCAAAAAAUAUUGGUAAUGUUCUUCCCAUUUUUAUUCACAUUCGUAAAAAUAUAGGUUUAAUGAUGGCUCUGCAAUUUUCCUAUUAGUAUGCAUGAUUUUUCUUUUUGAUUGCUCACCCUGGUACUUUUUUCAGUAAGAUCAUAAAUGACAAUUAUAACGGUGGUGAUUUUUACCACCAAUUCCUUGUUUUUCACUUCUCUCACACUCAUGAUAGGUUGAUAUAUAUUUUCAGUUAUCUAUACAUCUUCAGUAUGUUGAUGUAGCCCCAAUCCCAUGAUACAAUCAAUGCAUUUUCUGCAGCCCAUCUCAUGCAGGCAGAUGGGGCGAUACAUUCAUGAGCUUGCCACUAUGCUUAGCUAGCUUGUUCAACUUCUCUUGUGAGAUCAAAUUACUUUGAUGUGAAUUUUCACAGCUCUUUGUGCUCUUUCCUUCUUGCUGAACCAAUGUUUCCUCAUUAAAUUACUUUACUAGGAUGUUUUCUUUAGAAUUUUCAGACAUUACUUGCAAAAGCAGUAGCAACUGAGUGCUCAUUAAACUUUCUUAGCGUAAAAGGUCCAGAACUGAUAAACAUGUAUGUUGGAGAGUCAGAGAGGAAUAUCAGGGACAUCUUUGAGAAGGCUAGAUCAGCACGCCCAUGAGUAAUUUUCUUCGAUGAGCUUGAUUCCCUUGCUCCUGACGAGGGUCCUCUGCAGAUUCUGGAGAUGUGAUGGAUAAAUGGUUUCUCAGCACAAAUGCCCGACGGAGAUGCAUAUGUUUGCCAUUCUAUCAGUAAACAUACACGGGCGCUGGCUUGCAGUACUACAUUUUGUGAUUGUGUCAUAUGCACACCACUACUAAUGCUUAAGUCCGUUGCCUUGUCGUGUAAUUGUGUCAUAUGAACACCAAUACUAAUGCUCUAUGCUCUCGCCUGAGAGCACGUGUUGUGCUUUGUAUCAUCUAAAAAAGAUGUAAACUCUGUAAGUAGAAACAGACUUUAGCAUUGUGAUCCAGUAUGUAUUGAGUAGUGGAUUAAUGUAUG